GACGAACGCUGGCGGCGUGCUUAACACAUGCAAGUCACGGGGGCCCGCAAGGGUAACCGGCGAACGGGUGCGUAACACGUGAGCAAUCUGCCGUACACUGGGGGAUAGCCGGCCCAACGGCCGGGUAAUACCGCAUACGUUCCUCGCCUGGCAUCAGGUGGGGAGGAAACCUCCGGGGGUGUACGAGGAGCUCGCGGCCUAUCAGCUAGUUGGUGGGGUAACGGCCUACCAAGGCGAUGACGGGUAGCUGGUCUGAGAGGAUGGCCAGCCACAUUGGGACUGAGAUACGGCCCAGACUCCUACGGGAGGCAGCAGUGGGGAAUAUUGCGCAAUGGCCGCAAGGACUGACGCAGCGACGCCGCCGUGGGGGA
rnacentral:rRNA from 1 species